rnacentral:rRNA from 1 species
UACGUAGGGUGCGAGCGUUAAUCGGAAUUACUGGGCGUAAAGCGUGCGCAGGCGGUUUUGUAAGCCAGAUGUGAAAGCCCCGGGCUUAACCUGGGAAUGGCAUUUGGGACUGCAAGGCUUGAGUUUGGCAGAGGAGACUGGAAUUCCUGGUGUAGCAGUGAAAUGCGUAGAUAUCAGAAGGAAUACCGAUGGCGAAGGCAGGUCUCUGGGACUGAAACUGACGCUCGAUGCACGAAAGCGUGGGGAGCAAACAGG